rnacentral:rRNA from 1 species
AGUGUUUGAUGAUGGCUCAGAUUGAACGCUGGCGGUAUGCUUAACACAUGCAAGUCGAACGCGAAAGCACCUUCGGGUGUAAGUAGAGUGGCGGACGGGUGAGUAAGGCAUGGGAAUCUGCCCUAUAGCGGGGGAUAACUUGGGGAAACCCAAGCUAAUACCGCAUACACCUACGGGUAAAAGAUGGCCUCUUCUUGAAAGCUAUUACUAUAGGAUGAGCCCAUGUAAGAUUAGCUAGUUGGUAGGGUAAAAGCCUACCAAGGCUACGAUCUUUAGCUGGUCUGAGAGGACGAUCAGCCACACUGGGACUGAGACACGGCCCAGACUCCUACGGGAGGCAGCAGUGGGGAAUAUUGGACAAUGGGGGCAACCCUGAUCCAGCAAUACCGCGUGUGUGAAGAAGGCCUGCGGGUUGUAAAGCACUUUUAUCUGUGAGGAAGGGUUUAAUGUUAAUACCAUUAGACAUUGACGUUAGCAGAAGAAAAAGCACCGGCUAACUCUGUGCCAGCAGCCGCGGUAAUACAGAGGGUGCAAGCGUUAAUCGGAAUUACUGGGCGUAAAGGGUGCGUAGGCGGUUUAGUAAGUCGGAUGUGAAAGCCCUGAGCUUAA